rnacentral:rRNA from 1 species
GAUGAACGCUGGCGGCGUGCCUAAUACAUGCAAGUCGAACGCAUAGCGAAAGGUGCUUGCACCUUUCAAGUGAGUGGCGAACGGGUGAGUAACACGUGGACAACCUGCCUCAAGGCUGGGGAUAACAUUUGGAAACAGAUGCUAAUACCGAAUAAAACUUAGUGUCGCAUGACACAAAGUUAAAAGGCGCUUCGGCGUCACCUAGAGAUGGAUCCGCGGUGCAUUAGUUAGUUGGUGGGGUAAAGGCCUACCAAGACAAUGAUGCAUAGCCGAGUUGAGAGACUGAUCGGCCACAUUGGGACUGAGACACGGCCCACACUCCUACGGGAGGCUGCAGUAGGGAAUCUUCCACAAUGGGCGAAAGCCUGAUGGAGCAACGCCGCGUGUGUGAUGAAGGCUUUCGGGUCGUAAAGCACUGUUGUAUGGGAAGAACAGCUAGAAUAGGAAAUGAUUUUAGUUUGACGGUACCAUACCAGAAAGGGACGGCUAAAUACGUG